rnacentral:rRNA from 1 species
UACGUAGGAGGCAAGCGUUGUCCGGAUUUACUGGGCGUAAAGAGCGCGCAGGCGGUCGAUCAAGUCGAGUGUGAAAGCCCCCGGCUCAACUGGGGAGGGUCAUUCGAUACUGAUCGACUCGAAGGCAGGAGAGGGUAGUGGAAUUCCCGGUGUAGUGGUGAAAUGCGUAGAUAUCGGGAGGAACACCAGUGGCGAAGGCGACUACCUGGCCUGUUCUUGACGCUGAGGCGCGAAAGCUAGGGGAGCAAACGGG